rnacentral:rRNA from 1 species
AUUGAACGCUGGCGGCAUGCCUUACACAUGCAAGUCGAACGGUAACAGGUCUUCGGAUGCUGACGAGUGGCGAACGGGUGAGUAAUACAUCGGAACGUGCCCGAUCGUGGGGGAUAACGGAGCGAAAGCUUUGCUAAUACCGCAUACGAUCUACGGAUGAAAGCAGGGGACCGCAAGGCCUUGCGCGGACGGAGCGGCCGAUGGCAGAUUAGGUAGUUGGUGGGAUAAAAGCUUACCAAGCCGACGAUCUGUAGCUGGUCUGAGAGGACGACCUGCCACACUGGGACUGAGACACGGCCCAGACUCCUACGGGAGGCAGCAGUGGGGAAUUUUGGACAAUGGGCGCAAGCCUGAUCCAGCCAUGCCGCGUGCAGUAUGAAGGCCUUCGGGUUGUAAACUGCUUUUGUACGGAACGAAACGGCUCUUUCUAAUAAAGAGGGCUAAUGACGGUACCGUAAGAAUAAGCACCGGCUAACUACGUGCCAGCAGCCGCCGUAAAAC